GCGCAGCCUGAUCAGCCAUGCCGCGUGCAGGAUGACGGUCCUAUGGAUUGUAAACUGCUUUUGUACAGGAAGAAACCCUUUUACGUGUGGGAGAUUGACGGUACUGUAAGAAUAAGGAUCGGCUAACUCCGUGCCAGCAGCCGCGGUAAUACGGAGGAUCCAAGCGUUAUCCGGAAUCAUUGGGUUUAAAGGGUCCGUAGGCGGUCAAGUAAGUCAGUGGUGAAAGCCCAUCGCUCAACGGUGGAACGGCCAUUGAUACUGCUUGACUUGAAUUAUUAGGAAGUAACUAGAAUAUGUAGUGUAGCGGUGAAAUGCUUAGAGAUUACAUGGAAUACCAAUUGCGAAGGCAGGUUACUACUUGUGGAUUGACGCUGAUGGACGAAAGCGUGGGUAGCGAACAGGAUUAGAUACCCUGGUAGUCCACGCCGUAAACGAUGGAUACUAGCUGUUGGGAGUGAUCUCAGUGGCUAAGCGAAAGUGAUAAGUAUCCCACCUGGGGAGUACGUUCGCAAGAAUGAAACUCAAAG
rnacentral:rRNA from 1 species